UUAGACGUCCAUAGCGCGUUGAAUACAGCGGUUCUCGUUAGAUCACCAAAGUUAAGCAACGUCGGGCGCGGUCAGUACUCGGAUGGGUGACCGCCUGAGAACCCCGCGUAUUUCAAUU
rnacentral:rRNA from 1 species